GUACACGACCGUACCGCAAACCGACACUGGUGCGCGAGAUGAGUAUUCUCAGGCGCUUGAGAGAACUCGGGAGAAGGAACUCGGCAAAUUGACACCGUAACUUCGGAAGAAGGUGUGCCUUUAGUAGGUGAAGUCCCUCGCGGAUGGAGCCCAAUGAGGUUGCAAAGAAUCGGUGGCUGCGACUGUUUAAUAAAAACACAGCACUCUGCAAACACGAAAGUGGACGUAUAGGGUGUGACGCCUGCCCGGUGCUGGAAGAUUAAGUGAUGGGGUGCAAGCUCUUGAUCGAAGUCCCAGUAAACGGCGGCCGUAACAAUAACGGUCCUAAGGUAGCGAAAUUCCUUGUCGGGUAAGUUCCGACCUGCACGAAUGGCGUAACGAUGGCCACACUGUCUCCUCCCGAGACUCAGCGAAGUUGAAAUGUUUGUGAUGAUGCAAUCUCCCCGCGGAAAGACGGAAAGACCCCAUGAACCUUUACUGUAGCUUUGUAUUGGACUUUGAACGGAUCUGUGUAGGAUAGGUGGGAGGCUUUGAAGCCGGGUCGCUAGAUCUGGUGGAGCCAACGUUGAAAUACCACCCUGGUGCGUUUGAGGUUCUAACCUAGGCCCGUUAUCCGGGCCGGGGACAGUGCAUGGUAGGCAGUUUGACUGGGGCGGUCUCCUCCCAAAGCGUAACGGAGGAGUUCGAAGGUACGCUAGUUACGGUCGGACAUCGUGACGAUGGUGCAAUGGCAUAAGCGUGCUUAACUGCGAGACUGACAAGUCGAGCAGAUGCGAAAGCAGGACAUAGUGAUCCGGUGGUUCUGUAUGGAAGGGGCAUCGCUCAACGGAUAAAAGGUACUCUGGGGAUAACAGGCUGAUACCGCCCAAGAGUUCAUAUCAACGGCGGUGUUUGGCACCUCGAUGUCGGCUCAUCUCAUCCUGGGGCUGUAGCCGGUCCCAAGGGUAUGGCUGUUCGCCAUUUAAAGAGGUACGUGAGCUGGGUUUAAAACGUCGUGAGACAGUUUGGUCCCUAUCUUCCGUGGGCGCUGCAGAUUUGAGGAAGCCUGCUCCUAGUACGAGAGGACCGGAGUGGACGCACCUCUGGUGUACCUGUUGUCACGCCAGUGGCAUUGCAGGGUAGCUAAGUGCGGAAGAGAUAACCGCUGAAAGCAUCUAAGCGGGAAACUCGUUUCAAGAUGAGAUCUGCCGGGGCCUUGAGCCCCCUGAAGAGUCGUUCUAGACCAGGACGUUGAUAGGUCAGGUGUGGAAGCGCAGUAAUGCGUUAAGCUAACUGAUACUAAUUGCUCGUGCGGCUUGACC
rnacentral:rRNA from 1 species